AUGCUUGCUUUGGCAGCACAUAUACUAUAAUUGGAAUGAUACAGAGAAGAUUAGCAUGUCCCUGCACAAAGAUGAUAUGCAAAAUGAUCUGUCCUGAAUUGAA
ensembl:snRNA U6 U6 spliceosomal RNA